AGCGGCGGACGGGUGAGUAAUACUUAGGAAUCUGCCUAUUAAUGGGGGACAACAUCUCGAAAGGGAUGCUAAUACCGCAUACGCCCUACGGGGGAAAGCAGGGGAUCACUUGUGACCUUGCGUUAAUAGAUGAGCCUAAGUCGGAUUAGCUAGUUGGUGGGGUAAAGGCCUACCAAGGCGACGAUCUGUAGCGGGUCUGAGAGGAUGAUCCGCCACACUGGGACUGAGACACGGCCCAGACUCC
rnacentral:rRNA from 1 species